rnacentral:rRNA from 1 species
AUAAGUUACUAAGAGCAUGAGGCGGAUGCCUCGGCUCCGGUAGGCGAUGAAGGACGUGGUAAGCUGCGAUAAGCGUCGGUGAGGAGCAAACAUCCUUAGACCCGGCGAUUUCCGAAUGGGACAACCUGGCUAGAGUCAUGUCUAGUCAUCCCCGUCUGAAUAUAUAGGGCGGUGGAGGCCAACCCAGGGAACUGAAACAUCUAAGUACCUGGAGGAAGAGAAAGCAACCGCGAUUCCCUAAGUAGCGGCGAGCGAACGGGGAACAGCCUAAACCUAUGUCAUGCCAAGCUUACAGGCGUUGUGGCAUGGGUGUUGCGGGGUCUUACAGGUCAACUGUAAUUGGCCAGGGAGUUACAAAGUGUAGUUAUAGCCGAACCUGUCUGGAAAGUCAGGCCGUAGAGGGUGACAGCCCCGUAGGCGAAAUGAUUAUACCUCCCGUAGGAUACCCCAAGUAGCACGGGACACGAGAAACCCUGUGUGAAUCUAGGUGGACCAUCACCUAAGGCUAAAUACUCACCGGAGACCGAUAGUGAACCAGUACCGUGAGGGAAAGGUGAAAAGCACCCCGGGAGGGGAGUGAAAUAGUACCUGAAACCUCAUGCUUACAAGCAGUUGGAGCCUCGAUUUAUCGGGGUGACAGCGUACCUUUUGCAUAAUGGGCCAGCGAGUUGCGCGUAUCUAGCAAGGUUAAGGAGUUCAGCUCCGAAGCCGUAGCGAAAGCAAGUCUGAAUAGGGCGUAUAGUUAGGUGCGGCAGACGCGAAACCGGGUGAUCUAUCCAUGGCCAGGUUGAAGCGCAGGUAAAACUGCGUGGAGGACCGAACCAGUAGACGUUGAAAAGUCUUUGGAUGAGCUGUGGAUAGGGGUGAAAGGCCAAUCAAACCUGGAGAUAGCUCGUACUCCUCGAAAUGCUUUUAGGAGCAGCCUCGUAUUAGUCUACCGGAGGUAGAGCACUGAUAGGGCUAGGGGGCAUAUCGCCUACCGCCCCCUGUCAAACUCCGAAUGCCGGUAGUAUGAUGUACGGGAGUGAGCGCACGGGAGAUAAGUUCCAUGCGCGAGAGGGAAACAACCCAGACAGACGGCUAAGGUCCCCAAGUGUGAUUUAAGUGAACAAAGGAUGUGAAAUCGCGCAGACAGCUGGGAGGUUGGCUUAGAAGCAGCCAUUCCUUUAAAGAGUGCGUAACAGCUCACCAGUCGAGUAGUUUUGCGCCGAAAAUUCUCGGGACUAAAAUCACCACCGAAGCCACUGAUUCUAACAUUCGUGUUAGUCUGGUAGAGGAGCAUUCUGUUUACCGUUGAAGGUGUACCGUGAGGUAUGCUGGAGGACACAGAAAAGAUGAUGCUGGCAUAAGUAACGAUAAAACAGGUGAGAAACCUGUUCGCCGAAAACCUAAGGUUUCCUGAGUAAAGCUUGUCUUCUCAGGGUUAGUCGGCCCCUAAGGCGAGGCUGAAAAGCGUAGUCGAUGGGAAACGGGUUAAUAUUCCCGUACCGGUGGCAGUACGUUCGACCUAUGGGGUGACGCAGAAGUGAAAGUUCAGCCACGUGUUGGAUCGUGGUCUAAGGCUGUAGGCUGAUUGGAUAGGCAAAUCCGUCCAAUCUUAAGGCUGAGAGCUGAAUGGGAGACGUAAGUCAUAAACUGAACCUAAUCAUGCUGCCAAGAAAAACCUCUAUGGGAGUCCUGCCUCCGACCGUACCUCAAACCGACACAGGUAGGUGGGGAGAGUAUCCUAAGGCGCUCGAGAGAACCAUGAUUAAGGAACUCGGCAAAAUAGCUCCGUAACUUCGGGAGAAGGAGCGCCUCCGAUGGUGAAGCACUUGCUGCGUAAGCUAUUGGAGGCCGCAGUGAAAAGGCCCAAGCGACUGUUUACUAAAAACACAGGUCUCUGCUAAGUCGCAAGACGACGUAUAGGGACUGACACCUGCCCGGUGCUGGAAGGUUAAGGGGAUAGGUUAGCACUUUAGUGCGAAGCUUUGAACCGAAGCCCCAGUAAACGGCGGCCGUAACUAUAACGGUCCUAAGGUAGCGAAAUUCCUUGUCGGGUAAGUUCCGACCUGCACGAAUGGUGUAACGAUUUGGGCACUGUCUCAAUCAUGGACUCGGUGAAAUUGAAUUCUCGGUGAAGAUGCCGGGUACCCGCGGCUGGACGGAAAGACCCCGUGGACCUUUACUACAGUUUGAUAUUGAAGUUUAGCUUUAUAUGUGUAGGAUAGGUGGGAGACUUUGAAGCGGGCACGCUAGUGUUCGUGGAGUCACACUUGAAAUACCACCCUUGUACUGUUGAGCUUCUAACCGUAACCGUGAUCCGGUUAUGGAACAGUGUCAGAUGGGUAGUUUGACUGGGGCGGUCGCCUCCUAAAAUGUAACGGAGGCGCGCAAAGGUUCCCUCAGCACGGUCGGUAAUCGUGCGUAGAGUGCAAAGGCAUAAGGGAGCUUGACUGCGAGACAUACACGUCGAGCAGGUGCGAAAGCAGGUCUUAGUGAUCCGGCGGUAGAGUAUGGAAUUGCCGUCGCUCAACGGAUAAAAGGUACCCCGGGGAUAACAGGCUUAUAGCCCCCAAGAGUUCAUAUCGACGGGGCUGUUUGGCACCUCGAUGUCGGCCCGUCGCAUCCUGGGGCUGGAGAAGGUCCCAAGGGUUUGGCUGUUCGCCAAUUAAAGCGGCACGCGAGCUGGGUUUAGAACGUCGUGAGACAGUUCGGUCCCUAUCCGCCGUGGGCGCACGUGACUUGAUGAGAUCUAUUCCUAGUACGAGAGGACCGGAAUGGACGAACCUCUGGUGUACCAGUUGUCCUGCCAAGGGCAUCGCUGGGUAGCUAAGUUCGGAUCGGAUAAGCGCUGAAAGCAUCUAAGUGCGAAACCGACUCAAAGACUAGGUCACGCUUCCGUAAGGACUGAAGGCCCGUCCGAGACUAGGACGUUGAUAGGCCACAAGUGUAAGUGCAGUAAUGCAUUCAGCUGAGUGGUACUAAUAGGCCGUGAGACUUAACCGA